rnacentral:rRNA from 1 species
GACGAACGCUGGCGGCGUGCUUAACACAUGCAAGUCGAACGGAAAGGCCCUGCUUUUGUGGGGUGCUCGAGUGGCGAACGGGUGAGUAACACGUGAGUAACCUGCCCUUGACUUUGGGAUAACUUCAGGAAACUGGGGCUAAUACCGGAUAGGAGCUCCUGCGGCAUGGUGGGGGUUGGAAAGUUUCGGCGGUUGGGGAUGGACUCGCGGCCUAUCAGCUUGUUGGUGGGGUAGUGGCUUACCAAGGCUUUGACGGGUAGCCGGCCUGAGAGGGUGACCGGCCACAUUGGGACUGAGAUACGGCCCAGACUCCUACGGGAGGCAGCAGUGGGGAAUAUUGCACAAUGGGCGGAAGCCUGAUGCAGCAACGCCGCGUGCGGGAUGACGGCCUUCGGGUUGUAAACCGCUUUCGCCUGUGACGAAGCGUGAGUGACGGUAAUGGGUAAAGAAGCACCGGCUAACUACGUG